rnacentral:rRNA from 1 species
UACGGGGGGAGCAAGCGUUGUUCGGAUUUACUGGGCGUAAAGGGCGCGUAGGCGGCGUGACAAGUCACUUGUGAAAUCUCCGGGCUUAACCCGGAGCGGCCAAGUGAUACUGUCGUGCUAGAGUGCGGAAGGGGCUACUGGAAUUCUCGGUGUAGCGGUGAAAUGCGUAGAUAUCGAGAGGAACACCCGUGGCGAAGGCGGCUCUCUGGUACGUGACUGACGCUGAGACGCGAAAGCGUGGGGAGCAAACAGG